GAUGAACGCUGGCGGCGUGCCUAAUACAUGCAAGUCGAGCGGAUGGAAGGAAGCUUGCUUCCUAAAGUCAGCGGCGGACGGGUGAGUAACACGUGGGCAACCUGCCCCUAAGAUCGGGAUAACUUCGGGAAACCGGAGCUAAUACCGGAUAUGAUUAUGUCUCACAUGAGAAAUAAUGGAAGGACGGUUUCGGCUGUCACUUAGGGAUGGGCCCGCGGCGCAUUAGCUAGUGGGUGAGGUAACGGCUAACCAAGGGGACGAUGCGUAGCCGACCUGAGAGGGUGAUCGGCCACACUGGGACUGAGACAAGGCCCAGACUCCUACGGGAGGCAGCAGUAGGGAAUCUUCCGCAAUGGACGAAAGUCUGACGGAGCAACGCCGCGUGAGUGAAGAAGGUUUUCGGAUCGUAAAACUCUGUUGUUAGGGAAGAACAAGUACCAUAGUAACUGAUGGUACCUUGACGGUACCUAACCAGAAAGCCACGGCUAACUACGUGCCAGCAGCCGCCGUAACAC
rnacentral:rRNA from 1 species